CUUCAACGAGCCCAGCCACAAGGGCCGUUCCUCCGAGUGCUCCUUGCCGUAGGUGGCGAGGAGUGCCUGUGCCUC
rnacentral:antisense_RNA from 1 species